UACGGAAGGCAGCAGUGGGGAAUAUUGCACAAUGGGCGCAAGCCUGAUGCAGCCAUGCCGCGUGUAUGAAGAAGGCCUUCGGGUUGUAAAGUACUUUCAGUCGUGAGGAAGGUGUUAAGGUUAAUAACCUUAGCAAUUGACGUUAGCGACAGAAGAAGCACCGGCUAACUCCGUGCCAGCAGCCGCGGUAAUACGGAGGGUGCGAGCGUUAAUCGGAAUUACUGGGCGUAAAGGGCACGCAGGCGGUUAAUUAAGUUGGAUGUGAAAUCCCCGGGCUUAACCUGGGAAUGGCAUUCAAGACUGGUUAGCUAGAGUCUUGUAGAGGGGGUUAGAAUUCCAUGUGUAGCGGUGAAAUGCGUAGAGAUGUGGAGGAAUACCGGUGGCGAAGGCGGCCCCUGGGACAAAGGACUGACGCUCAUGUGCGAAAGCGUGGGGAGCAAACGAGGGAUUAGAUACC
rnacentral:rRNA from 1 species